AUUGAACGCUGGCGGCCGGCCUAACACAUGCAAGUCGAGCGAGCGGCGGACGGGUGAGUAAUGUCUGGGAAACUGCCUGCUGGAGGGGGAUAACUACUGGAAACGGUAGCUAAUAACGCAUACCAUCAGAUGUGCCCAGGUGGGCUUAGCUAGUAGGUGGGGUAACGGCUCACCUAGGCGCCGAUCCCUCGCUGGUCUGAGAGGAUGACCAGCCACACUGGAACUGUGACAGGGUCCAGACUCCUACGGGAGGCAGCAGUGGGGAAUAUUGCACAAUGGGCGCAAGCCUGAUGCAGCCAUGCCGCGGGUGUGAAGAAGGCCUUCGGGUUGUAAAGCACUUUCAGCGGGGAGGCGUUACCCGCAGAAGAAGCACCGGCUAACUCCGUGCCAGCAGCCGCGGUAAUUC
rnacentral:rRNA from 1 species